UCUUUUAGACAUUGGGUAGGGGAGCGUUCUGUAAGCCGUUGAAGGUGAAUCGUAAGGUUUGCUGGAGGUAUCAGAAGUGCGAAUGCUGACAUGAGUAACGACAAAGGGGGUGAAAAACCUCCUCGCCGGAAGACCAAGGGUUCCUGUCCAACGUUAAUCGGGGCAGGGUGAGUCGACCCCUAAGGUGAGGCCGAAAGGCGUAAUCGAUGGGAAACGGGUUAAUAUUCCCGUACUUCUGACUAUUGCGAUGGGGGGACGGAGAAGGCUAGGUGGGCCAGGCGACGGUUGUCCUGGUUCAAGUGCGUAGGCUUGAGAGUUAGGUAAAUCCGGCUCUCUCUAAGGCUGAGACACGACGUCGAGCUACUACGGUAGUGAAGUCAUUGAUGCCAUGCUUCCAGGAAAAGCCUCUAAGCUUCAGAUAGUCAGGAAUCGUACCCCAAACCGACACAGGUGGUCGGGUAGAGAAUACCAAGGCGCUUGAGAGAACUCGGGUGAAGGAACUAGGCAAAAUGGUACCGUAACUUCGGGAGAAGGUACGCUCUUGAUGGUGAAGUCCCUCGCGGAUGGAGCUGACGAGAGUCGCAGAUACCAGGUGGCUGCAACUGUUUAUUAAAAACACAGCACUGUGCAAAAUCGCAAGAUGACGUAUACGGUGUGACGCCUGCCCGGUGCCGGAAGGUUAAUUGAUGGGGUUAGCGCAAGCGAAGCUCUUGAUCGAAGCCCCGGUAAACGGCGGCCGUAACUAUAACGGUCCUAAGGUAGCGAAAUUCCUUGUCGGGUAAGUUCCGACCUGCACGAAUGGCGUAAUGAUGGCCACGCUGUCUCCACCCGAGACUCAGUGAAAUUGAAAUCGCUGUGAAGAUGCAGUGUACCCGCGGCUAGACGGAAAGACCCCGUGAACCUUUACUACAGCUUGGCACUGAACAUUGAACCUACAUGUGUAGGAUAGGUGGGAGGCUAUGAAGACGUGACGCCAGUUGCGUUGGAGCCGUCCUUGAAAUACCACCCUUGUAUGUUUGAUGUUCUAACUUAGACCCAUUAUCUGGGUUGAGGACAGUGCCUGGUGGGUAGUUUGACUGGGGCGGUCUCCUCCCAAAGAGUAACGGAGGAGCACGAAGGUGGGCUAAUCACGGUUGGACAUCGUGAGGUUAGUGCAAUGGCAUAAGCCCGCUUAACUGCGAGAAUGACGGUUCGAGCAGGUGCGAAAGCAGGUCAUAGUGAUCCGGUGGUUCUGUAUGGAAGGGCCAUCGCUCAACGGAUAAAAGGUACUCCGGGGAUAACAGGCUGAUACCGCCCAAGAGUUCAUAUCGACGGCGGUGUUUGGCACCUCGAUGUCGGCUCAUCACAUCCUGGGGCUGAAGUCGGUCCCAAGGGUAUGGCUGUUCGCCAUUUAAAGUGGUACGCGAGCUGGGUUUAGAACGUCGUGAGACAGUUCGGUCCCUAUCUGCCGUGGGCGUUGGAAGAUUGAAGGGGGCUGCUCCUAGUACGAGAGGACCGGAGUGGACGAACCUCUGGUGUUCGGGUUGUGUCGCCAGACGCAUUGCCCGGUAGCUAAGUUCGGAAUUGAUAAGCGCUGAAAGCAUCUAAGCGCGAAGCGAGCCCUGAGAUGAGUCUUCCCUGACAGUUUAACUGUCCUAAAGGGUUGUUCGAGACUAGAACGUUGAUAGGCAGGGUGUGUAAGCGUUGUGAGGCGUUGAGCUAACCUGUACUAAUUGCCCGUGAGGCUUAACCAUACAACACCCAAGGGGUUUUGUA
rnacentral:rRNA from 1 species